UAUUAGUAUCUAUAAUACAAUUCAUUCCACAAAGGAAUUAAAUAAAUCAUUGUGAAUACACAUACAGAUCCUCGUUUUUUUUUAUAACUUGGUUUUCCGGAACCAACUCCGUUAGCGAUGUGAUCCGUGUUCCAUUUAGAUUUGGGCACAGUGCUGCUUCGUGAUCAGUAACCACAUGUGCGAUAUCGGAUGUUUCAUCUAAGUAUUAUUAUUAUAAACAGGAUGUAACUUAUUUGAUACACUUUGGUUGCUGUAGGCCUUUACAAUUAACUGUACAGAAAUGAAGAUGUUUGUUUAAUACCAUAGUUGGAUAAGAAGAUGAUGACUGAUCUUGACAGGUGAUAUAUGAACAUACCAAUGAAAAUUGGCUUUCAAAAAGUUGAAACUUCAAGUGAUAUGGAUAAAAUCUAAAAUGUACAAUAUAUACAGAUAGAAGAGCUAGAAUUAUGUACAACAAAUCUGUUCUGUGGUCGGGUUGUUGUCUCUUUGACACAUUCCCCAUUUCCAUUCUCAAUUUUAAUUGCAUUUUUUUUAUAUAAUAUAUAAUAAAAUAGGUUUAAUACAAUGUUACAAUGUUCACUAUUGAGUAUUGAUAACACGUAGACGGAUUACUAUUUAUUUGAAGUUUUUGAUCGUUUUGUACUGUUGUUACUAGCACCGUCGUGAAGUUUUUCAGUAGGAGUCACUGGUGACUUUUUCUAGUCCACAGCUAGUUGUUGGUUUCACUGGGGUACCAUGAUUUUGGCGUUAGAUAAAGUUUGAACUGUUGUGAAUUUGGUGGUUUGCUGUUGAUCGGAGCUUUUGUUUGGAAUUCAACUAGAUUUGCUAGAUCAUGUAGAUGUAUGUACAAGUUUAUUAUGUUCUCUGCGAGCAGGUUUGAUUUUUGGCCUAGCCGCUUGA